GCAGGGUCUACCAUUAGACAACACAUUAUGCUUCCAAUAUCUUCCCAGGCGGUAGUACCUCCCUGUUUGAUAGCUGCCUACUACCUACUACCUCUGUCUUCCUCACAUAUUUCCACACUCGUCAAUCCAUCCCCUACCAGCUACAAUAAAGGUAUUUAUUAAAUAACUUUACGUUUAAUAUACAGUACAGUACUGUACUGACAACGCCGAUUCACCAAUAACAUAUAAACAUAGGCAGUGGCAAUUAGUUUAUUCAGACAACAAUCCCUUGGUAUUUCCCCUUCCCUAGUGUUGCAUCAGUAGGCCCUAAGUAGAAAGGGAAAAUAAAAAACUUAAGGCAAGAGAAAGUUGGGAUGAAGUCAGCUCCAAUAAGAAGCAUCAGGACCUUACUUUACCUUAAUGAUAAGUUAAAUAACUGUUCUGUGAUUUCAGUGUGAAACAGAGAUGUGACUGAUCGUCGAAGCAGCUGAUAGGCCGAUCAGUGAAGAGAAUAAAGUGACAUGCAUAACUGGCGAUUCUUAGUCAAUAUUUAUUAUGAUGAUUAUUUUAAUAAUAAUAAGAUUUAUAAAAAAAAAUAAUUACUGUACUUUUCUUGGAACUCUUCCUCCAACAUUUUUUUUUCAUCUCUGUAUUUCAGCUUGUUCACUACAAGGAAGCAGUUCAGUUCAUGUUAAAUCUAUCAGAAGUAUUACUACAUUAUUCACUUGCUUUUUGCUGGACAAAUUUUUUUUUGGUAGUAUGGGAUUUUUUCUUAACACUGCAUGUGGAAAUCAGAUCCUAUACUACCGAGCUAAAUCUUAGCAUUAUAGCAGAUGAAACAAACCGUCUAAACCUAAUUACGUUUAACAAAACAACGCCUUUACUUUCUCAUUUAUUUGACAUUCACCAUACAGCACGAAAAUAUUAUAAAGAAAAUCCACAUAAAGAUUGAAACAUAAUUCGAUCUUUUAAUGUUGAUAGUAUUUAUAACCUUGAUAUUCAUGUUACUAUGAACCUUUCCAAACAAAAAUUUAGGGUACUGUGUUGAAUAUUAAUAGAACCAAACUUAUGGUGGGUGAGGUUGUCUUCUUCCCAAGAUGCAGCUGUUACACAUACACAAAUUACAAUGCUGCUAUAGUUUAUUGAGUGAUACACCGAGACAAUAUUCCUAAUAUAUGAAUGAGAGACUCAUUUUGAUGCUAUUUGUAGUCUCGCAUUAUGAACAAUAUUUGACAGGCAUCCAAGAAUGUUUAAAUACUUUGUGAGCACAGGAUACUGGAGCAAGCAACAAUAUCAAAUCAAUGGGACAGAAUGGCAGCAGAAGCGAUCUUGGCGGUGACGUGGGAGAGCGUGUGCUGGACAGAGCCAAAGACGGUAUUGCCUGCGGGUGUUGGUUCUGUCAGUAAGGUGGAGUAGCUGCUGACUGGCUCAGCCUCACAUGAAUGAUGCUGACCAUAUAUGAAGUACACCAGAAGACCUGUAGGGGAGGAGACCAGGGUUUUGAUCAUCACUUUUAUUUAUUUAUUUAAUAUAUUAUCUGAUAGGUUACAGGCCAUACAGAACCAUUAAGACAUUCUAAAGUACCAAUAACCAUGAUGACUGAGGUUCAUUUGAUGAGCUAUAACUUAUAUCCAUCCAAACAUCAGUCCUUAACUAUAACCAUCCAGACAA
rnacentral:lncRNA from 1 species